rnacentral:misc_RNA from 1 species
AGCUGAGAGGCAAGAGGACCAGAGGAAUUAAGCUCCUCACGGACGAGAUCGCCGGUGGCGAUGUGAGGGACACCAAGAAGAUUGGAGAGGCGAGAAGCAUAGGUGCCUUUACCAACGCCAGGGCAGCCGAGGAAAACCCACUGGACAUUUCUAUCCUUGGGUUCAGCACGGAGAGGCAGAGACUUAUUGUGACCGAAAAAGGCAGAAGAUUUGAGGUCAGCUCCGGAACUUAAAGAAGAAGACAAAGCUCGAUAGAGAAAAGAAGAAAAACGUAUGUUUCUAAUAGCUCUUAAAGAAACCGCCAUGGAGGGUGGUCAGAGACGGAGUCAGAGGAAUGAUUGCAGAGAGAGAAAUUGAAAUGGGGGGGCUUGAGCUGCUUCUGGGAUUCUUCGUUGAAGAGAG